rnacentral:rRNA from 1 species
CUACGGGUUGCAGCAGUGAGGAAUAUUGCACAAUGGGGGGAACCCUGAUGCAGCAACGCCGCGUGGAGGAUGACGCAUUUCGGUGUGUAAACUCCUUUUAUAUGUCAAGAAAAUGACGGUAGCAUAUGAAUAAGCACCGGCUAACUCCGUGCCAGCAGCCGCGGUAAUACGGAGGGUGCAAGCGUUACUCGGAAUCACUGGGCGUAAAGGACGCGUAGGCGGGUUGGAAAGUCAGGUGUGAAAUCCUACAGCUUAACUGUAGAACUGCACUUGAAACUUCUAAUCUAGAGUAUGGGAGGGGGAGAUGGAAUUUGGGGUGUAGGGGUAAAAUCCGUAGAUAACACUAGGAAUACCUAAAGCGAAGGCGAUCUCCCGGAACAUUACUGACGCUAAGGCGUGAAAGCGUGGGGAGCAAACAGGAUUAGAUACCCCGGUAGUC